rnacentral:rRNA from 1 species
CUCCGGUUGGAUGCAUGUCCUUCCGGGAAAGAUUCUAUCGGUAUGGGAUGGGGUCGCGUCCUAUCAGCUUGAUGGCGGGGUAACGGCCCACCAUGGCUUCGACGGGUAGCCGGCCUGAGAGGGCGACCGGCCACAUUGGGACUGAGAUACGGCCCAGACUCCUACGGGAGGCGGCAGUGGGGAAUAUUGCACAAUGGGCGCAAGCCUGAUGCAGCGACGCCGCGUGCGGGAUGGAGGCCUUCGGGUUGUAAACCGCUUUUGAUCGGGAGCAAGCCCUUCGGGGUGAGUGUACCUUUCGAAUAAGCACCGGCUAACUACGUGCCAGCAGCCGCGGUAAUACGUAGGGUGCAAGCGUUAUCCGGAAUUAUUGGGCGUAAAGGGCUCGUAGGCGGUUCGUCGCGUCCGGUGUGAAAGCCCAUCGCUUAACGGUGGGUCUGCGCCGGGUACGGGCGGG